AGAGUUUGAUCCUGGCUCAGAGUUAACGCUGGCAUCGUGCAUAACACAUGCAAGUCGAACGGGACUUUAUUUUGUAGCAAUACAAGAUGAAGUUUAGUGGCAGACGGGUGAGUAAUGUAUGAGGAACCUACCUUCGAGUGGGGAAUAACGGUCCGAAAGGAUUGCUAAUACCCCAUAACAUCUUUGAGUGGCAUCACUUAAAGAUUAAAGAUUUAUCGCUUGAAGACGGUCUCAUAUUCCAUCAGCUAGUUGGCAGUGUAACGGACUACCAAGGCUACGACGGAUAGCCGGCCUGAAAGGGCGACCGGCCACAAGGGCACUGAGACACGGGCCCUACUCCUACGGGAGGCAGCAGUGGGGAAUUUUGGUCAAUGGGCGAAAGCCUGAACCAGCAACGAUGCGUGGAGGAUGAAGGUUCUCGGAUUGUAAACUCCUUUUGUGAGGGAAGAAAAAUGACGGUACCUCACGAAUAAGCCACGGCUAACUACGUGCC
rnacentral:rRNA from 1 species